GCCCGGGUGGUGAAAUCGGUAGACACAACGGAUUUAAAAUCCGUCGCUUAAUAGGCGUGCCAGUUCAAGUCUGGCUCCGGGCACCA
rnacentral:tRNA from 2 species